ACGAACGCUGGCGGCAGGCCUAACACAUGCAAGUCGAGCGAGAUCUUCGGGUCUAGCGGCGGACGGGUGAGUAACGCGUGGGAAUAUGCCUCUUGGUACGGAAUAGCCUCGGGAAACUGGGAGUAAUACCGUAUGUGCCCUUUGGGGGAAAGAUUUAUCGCCAAGAGAUUAGCCCGCGUUGGAUUAGGUAGUUGGUGGGGUAAUGGCCUACCAAGCCGACGAUCCAUAGCUGGUUUGAGAGGAUGAUCAGCCACACUGGGACUGAGACACGGCCCAGACUCCUACGGGAGGCAGCAGUGGGGAAUCUUAGACAAUGGGGGCAACCCUGAUCUAGCCAUGCCGCGUGAGUGAUGAAGGCCUUAGGGUUGUAAAGCUCUUUCAGCUGGGAAGAUAAUGGCGGUACCAGCAGAAGAAGCCCCGGCUAACUCCGUG
rnacentral:rRNA from 1 species